GUCAGCGGAGGGGCCAGGAUAUGCCAUCCGGUCCCGACCUCCUCAGGUGUGGCCCCACCGUCAGUCGGUCCCAGGUGUGCUGUCGGGAAUAAGAAAGAAGCUCAUCACAGCUGCUGCAUUUACACAAAGCAAUUAGGUGCGGGCUCCCUGGGGCCCAGGAGAGAGGACAGAGACACAGCCUCCUGCUGGACUGUCACACGAAGGCGUCCGUGCACCACAUCCCAGAUGUCACAUCAGUCAGUGACGACCGCCCAUUACAUCGCUUCUUGGAGAACGCUGCUCGGAGUUUCAUCGUUUUACCUUGUUGGCUGCAGAUAAUUUUCCUUUGAAUCGUGUUUUGAAAUGUGAUCCUUUCAUUUGCGAAGCCUUGCAGAAAUAAUAAAGAAAAAUAAAUGAAUGAACCAGGGGUCCCCAGCGUCCUCGCCCUGGAA